rnacentral:pre_miRNA from 1 species
AUUUUAAUAUAAGUAUGCCCUAUGCAAUAUUUGGGGCAUACUUACGCUAAGA